UACGAGGGGGGCAAGCGUUGUUCGGAAUUAUUGGGCGUAAAGGGCGCGUAGGCGGCGCGGUAAGUCACUUGUGAAAUCUCUGAGCUUAACUCAGAACGGCCAAGUGAUACUGCAGUGCUAGAGUGUGGAAGGGGCAAUCGGAAUUCUUGGUGUAGCGGUGAAAUGCGUAGAUAUCAAGAGGACACCUGAGGUGAAGACGGGUUGCUGGGCCAACACUGACGCUGAUGCGCGAAAGCCAGGGGAGCAAACGGG
rnacentral:rRNA from 1 species